AUCGGAGCAGGGUUAGUCGGCCCCUAAGGCGAGGCCGAAAGGCGUAGUCGAUGGGAAACAGGUUAAUAUUCCUGUACUUGGUGGUAGUGACGGAUGCCGUGUGUUGUAUCUCCUUAUUGGAUUGGGGGUGCAGCGAAUGUGUUCCAGGAAAUAGCUCCACUUUAUAAACCGUACCCGAAACCGACACAGGUGGACUGGUAGAGAAUACCAAGGCGCUUGAGA
rnacentral:rRNA from 14 species